UAAACCUACGGAAGCGGGAAGCACCAAC
rnacentral:sRNA from 1 species